UCAAAACCCAUAAACCAUAAUAAGUCCUAUUAUUUUUAUAAAAAAGUCCAUGUUAAAAUUAGUAAUAAGAAAAUAUGAUUUUCUCUGUGCAUAUAUGUAAAUCAAAAUGAACUAGUCACUGAUAAUUACCGAAAAAAUUAGAGUGUUUUCCUUAACUAGAUAAAAAACUUAUUAAUAUCGUUAACCCCACACAGGUGUGCUUAAAGACAGACAAAAAGAUUAAAGAAGGAACUCGGCAAAAACAAGUUUCGCCUGUUUACCAAAAACAUCACCUCUAGCAAAUUAAACAUGUAUUAUAGGCAAUGCCUGCCCAGUGACACCUAGUUUAACGGCCGCGGUAUUCUGACCGUGCAAAGGUAGCAUAAUCACUUGUCUUUUAAAUAAAGACUAGUAUGAAUGGCAAAACGAAAACUUAACUGUCUCCUUAAUCUAGUCAAUGAAAUUGAUCUUCUUGUACAAAAGCAAGAAUAAAAAAAUAAGACGAGAAGACCCUAUGGAACUUAAGUUAUUAUACACUUAAACAUAUUAUUAAUAAUAAUUGAAAUACUAACUUUGGUUGGGGCAACCACGGAGAAUAAGUAUCCUCCGAGAAAUACAAGCUAAACUAAACAAAAUUAAGCACCAGAAAUCUACAAUUAGACCCAAUAUAAUUGAUCAACGAACCAAGCUACCCUAGGGAUAACAGCGCAAUCUUCUUCACGAGCCCUUAUCAUCAAGAAGGUUUACGACCUCGAUGUUGGAUCAGGAUAUCCCUACAGU
rnacentral:rRNA from 1 species